rnacentral:lncRNA from 1 species
CGUUGCCAGAAACCAUUCAUCAGACUCUGUAGAAAAGGCUGUCAGCUCGGCCUACAGGCCUCAAGCCAGCCUGUCAGGAUCUAGGCUAACAGCCAGAGUGUCAGGGGCUGCGGCUGGUAGCCAACCAGAACUUUGAUGUCUAAGGGUUGGCCAGCUGGUAUGGGAGCCUGGCCGAUGGGUUCUCUGAAGCCAUAUGCUCCGCUCGGAGGUCAUGAGUUCUGAGAGCGAGCUGGCCGUUAAGAGGAUCUCCAAUAAAGACGGAGAUGGAGAAACCAAAGCUUGGAUGGUGGGGAUCCUGCUUCAAGGUCCC